rnacentral:rRNA from 1 species
AUUGAACGCUGGCGGCAGGCUUAACACAUGCAAGUCGAGCGGGGUGAUGGUGCUUGCACUAUCACUUAGCGGCGGACGGGUGAGUAAUGCUUAGGAAUCUGCCUAUUAGUGGGGGACAACAUCUCGAAAGGGAUGCUAAUACCGCAUACGUCCUACGGGAGAAAGCAGGGGAUCACUUGUGACCUUGCGCUAAUAGAUGAGCCUAAGUCGGAUUAGCUAGUUGGUGGGGUAAAGGCCUACCAAGGCGACGAUCUGUAGCGGGUCUGAGAGGAUGAUCCGCCACACUGGGACUCAGACACGGCCCAGACUCCUACGGGAGGCAGCAGUGGGGAAUAUUGGACAAUGGGGGGAACCCUGAUCCAACCAUGCCGCGUGUGUGAAGAAGGCCUUAUGGUUGUAAAGCACUUUAAGCGAGGAGGAGGCUCUUUUGGUUAAUACCCAGAAUGAGUGGACGUUACUCGCAGAAUAAGCACCGGCUAACUCUGUGCCAGCCGCCGCCGUAA